rnacentral:ncRNA from 1 species
CUUCGGGGCGGGGUGAAAUUCCCCACCGGCAGUAAAGUCUGCGAGCCAUUUCGGCUGAUUGGGCGCGAUUCCCAAACCGACGGUAAAGUCCGGAUGAAAGAAGU